CUGUUUUAGUUAGUAUAAGUUGUACAUUUGCCUUCCAAGCAAAAAGUCUCGAAAAGAGCCUCUUUUU
rnacentral:tRNA from 1 species